rnacentral:rRNA from 1 species
CGAUUCUGGCUCAGGAUGAACGCUGGCGGCGUGCAUAACACAUUCAAGUCGAACGGGCAGUAUUCCUUCGGGGGUGCUGCUAGUGGCGGACGGGUGAGUAACGCGUGAGCAACCUGCCUCUGUGAGUGGAAUAACACAGGGAAACUUGUGCUAAUACCGCAUGACGAAGCGAAGCCGCAUGACUUUGCUUCCAAAGAUUUAUCGCACAGAGAUGGGCUCGCGUCCGAUUAGGCAGUUGGUGAGGUAACGGCUCACCAAACCGACGAUCGGUAGCCGGACUGAGAGGUUGAACGGCCACAUUGGAACUGAGAUACGGUCCAGACUCCUACGGGAGGCAGCAGUGGGGAAUAUUGGGCAAUGGGCGCAAAGCCUGACCCAGCGACGCCGCAUGAGGGAAGAAGGUCUUCGGAUUGUAAACCUCUUUGACAGGGGACGAAGUAAGUGACGGUACCCUGAAAACAAGCCACGGCUAACUACGUGCCAGCCGCUGC